GAAGCUCUAAGAGUUGCUAAAUUUGUCUUCUUUCUCCAAGAUUUUAUGGGUGGACAUCGCUUUCAUUCCUACCCAAUUUGCACACGAUUCAUUGUUAACAACUGGAGGAUGGCGACGGUACAUGUGGCACCAUUAUUACCAGUUACAAUUAAGGUUGUCUGUAACGAAAAUGAUGCCAAAAUUGAGCAAAUUUCCAAAUCAGUGACAACCAUACAAUAUUUAACACAUUUAUUUUGAUGUUUAUACUUUCCGCCCCCAAAACAUCUUAUAUUCUCUGGACAAAAGGACCUGAUUCGUCUAAAAAUCUAAAUCAAUAUGGUGGUAGUGGUUUCCAGGAAGUCCCCUGGUGUUGCUUGUCCAUUCAAUGAGUGGAUUCAGUGCUGAAAAAUCUCAAAAUCAUAUCU